GGUGAACGCUGGCGGCGUGCUUAAGACAUGCAAGUCGAACGGCAGUCUUCGGACUGUAGUGGCGCACGGGUGAGUAACGCGUAACUGACCUACCCCAAAGUCGCGGAUAACGAUUCGAAAGAAUCGCUAAUACGUGAUGUGCUGUCAGAUUGUGUUCUGCCAGUAAAGAUUGAUUGCUUUGGGAUGGGGUUGCGUUCCAUCAGCUAGUUGGUGGGGUAAAGGCCCACCAAGGCGACGACGGGUAGCCGGCCUGAGAGGGUGGACGGCCACAGGGGACCUAGGACACGGGUCCCACUCCUACGGGAGGCAGCAGUUAGGAAUCUUCCACAAGGGGCGAAAGCCUGAUGGAGCGACGCCGCGUGAGGGGUGGAGGUCUUCGGAUCGUAAACCUCUGAAUCAGGGACGAAAGACACUUCGGUGGGAUGACGGUACCUGAGUAAUAGCACCGGCUAACUCCGUGCCAGCCGCCGCCGUAAGAC
rnacentral:rRNA from 1 species